AUCAAAAAAGUCAUACUGGAAUCAUACUGACUGCUUAUUCUAUCACACUUUUAAGUUUUGCUUGGAGAUACUUGCAGAUUCCUGACCCUCCUGAGUGGGAGUUGGCGGUGAUUGUACCUUCUGUGUCUGCUCCUUUACCCCUGUUCCCUUAGCAACGCACUCCUGUACCCUCCGUUCCUCAAGCAACUCACUCCCGUACACUCCAUUCCCUAGUGGGCCACGGGUUCUGUUUGUUCAGGAUAACUUCAUGCAUCUCCUGUAACCUUCACCCUCUUCGACCACUUGGCGUGUGAGAGGGGACUUCCAUCACAACACAGCCUGAUAGGAAACACUCUGGUUGGUUAAGUCCCUUAACAGUGUUUAUUUUGGUUGUGUGUGCGUGCGCAUUUUGUGUGUCAUUGUGUUUGAACAUAUCACAGCACUAUGACAUCUGCCAUUGCAGCUGGUAAUCAUAAGAAAUGCAACUCUUUCAGAUGUAUGUUGAGUUGUGGUCUAAGGCUAGUUUUUAUAUUGGCUGAAUUAGACUUUUCAACACUUGCUGUGUCACAGUUUGUGAUCCAGGCGUGGAGCUUUGAUAUAUUGUUUGCUGAUGUCCUCUGGAAAAAUGUCCCUGAUCAGAACCAUCUUCCAAUCGAAAUACCGGUUUCGUUCCAGAAAAAAUAGAAAUGAACAUUUAUUUAUUAAAUAACUUUAAUUUAAUAUGCCCCUGGGCAAAGUUGCUCUGUUUUAAAAAAAAAAUGAAAUCGAUCAGUUUUUCUACUGUUGAUGGUUUUAAAUGUCCUCGCAAAUGUUUUUAAAAAGACAAUGUGACUGAUGAUGAUUUCGAUGAUGAUGUUUAAAUGUGUAAGUGAUUUACAUAUUAAGGGAACCACGGCCUGAUAGAUAAUGACGCGUCGGAAUCUGUGGCCUGCACUUGUUCAUUCUGACCACCAGGGGGUCAAAAACAGCAAUCUGACGAUGUUUCAAUUUACACUUUGUUUUGUAAGAAUUACUUUAAAUUAUUUUUUAAACUUGAUUACGGUUUAAGUGUGUGUCACUGCUCUAUUUGUUUUUUGUUCUGUGUGGAAAUCAUAGCUUGGUCGUGGUAUCAUGCAAGAGUUGAGGUUAAUCAAAUACAGCCAUUGUAAUCAAAUGGAAAUUCAGAUGAAAGUAAA
ensembl:lncRNA